UAGGGAAUCUUCGGCAAUGGGGGCAACCCUGACCGAGCAACGCCGCGUGAGUGAAGAAGGUUUUCGGAUCGUAAAGCUCUGUUGUAAGAGAAGAACGUGUGUGAGAGUGGAAAGUCCACACAGUGACGGUAACUUACCAGAAAGGGACGGCUAACUACGUGCCAG
rnacentral:rRNA from 1 species